rnacentral:rRNA from 1 species
AUGGAGAGAUAUAGGGAGCAUAAGAAGGACUUGCAUAUGGUGUUCAUUGACUUGGAGAAGGCCUAUGAUAAGAUACCGCAGAAUGUCAUGUGGUGGGCCUUGGAGAAACACAAAGUCCCAGCAAAGUACAUUACCCUCAUCAAGGACAUGUACAAUAAUGUUGUGACAAGUGUUCGAACAAGUGAUGUCGACACCGAUGACUUCCCGAUUAAGAUAGGACUGCAUCAGGGGUCAGCUUUGAGCCCUUAUCUUUUUGCAUUGGUGAUGGAUGAGGUCACAAGGGGUAUACAAGGAGAUAUCCCAUGGUGUAUGAUCUUUGCGGAUGAUGUGGUGCUAGUUGACGAUAGUCGGACGGGGGUAAAUAGGAAGUUAGAGUUAUGGAGACAAACCUUGGAAUCGAAAGGGUUUAGGCUUAGUAGAACUAAAACCGAGUACAUGAUGUGCGGUUUCAGUACUACUAGCUGUGAGGAGGAGGAGGUUAGCCUUGAUGGCCGGGUGGUACCUCGGAAGGACACCUUUCGGUAUUUGGGGUCAAUGUUGCAGGAGGAUGGGGGUAUUGAUGAAGAUGUGAACCAUCGAAUCAAAGCCGGAUGGAUGAAGUGGCGCCAAGCUUCUGGCAUUCUCUGUGACAAGAGAGUGCCACAAAAGCUAAAAGGCAAGUUCUACAGGACGGCGGUUCGACCCGCAAUGUUGUAUGGCGCGGAGUGUUGGCCGACUAAAAGGCAACAUGUUCAACAGUUAGGUGUGGCGGAGAUGCGUAUGUUGAGAUGGAUGUGUGGCCACACAAGGAAGGAUCGAGUCCGGAAUGAUGAUAUACGAGAUAGAGUUGGGGUAGCACCAAUUGAGGAGAAGCUUGUCCAACAUCGUUUGAGAUGGUUUGGGCAUAUUCAGCGCAGGCCUCCAGAAGCUCCAGUGCAUAGCGGACGGCUAAAGCGUGCGGACAAUGUCAAGAGAGGGCGGGGUCGACCGAUUUUGACAUGGGAGGAGUCCGUUAAGAGAGACCUCAAGGAUUGGAGUAUCGACAAAGAGCUAGGUAUGGACAGGGGUGCGUGGAAGCUUGCUAUCCAUGUGCCAGAGCCAUGA